GAUGAACGCUGGCGGCGUGCCUAAUACAUGCAAGUCGAGCGAACGGACGAGAAGCUUGCUUCUCUGAUGUUAGCGGCGGACGGGUGAGUAACACGUGGAUAACCUACCUAUAAGACUGGGAUAACUUCGGGAAACCGUAGCUAAUACCGGAUAAUAUUUUGAACCGCAUGGUUCAAAAGUGAAAGACGGUCUUGCUGUCACUUAUAGAUGGAUCCGCGCUGCAUUAGCUAGUUGGUAAGGUAACGGCUUACCAAGGCAACGAUGCAUAGCCGACCUGAGAGGGGGAUCGGCGACACUGGAGCUGAGCCGCGGUCCAGACUCCUAGGGGAGGCAGCAGUAGGGAAUCUUCCGAGAUGGGCGGAAGCCUGACGGAGCAGCGCCGCGUGAGUGAUGAAGGUCUUCGGAUCGUAAAACUCUGUUAUUAGGGAAGAACAUAUGUGUAAGUAACUGUGCACAUCUUGACGGUACCUAAUCAGAAAGCCACGGCUAACUACGUG
rnacentral:rRNA from 1 species